UGUGUCUCACUCUUCCCUGCUUCAUUUCCAACUCUUCCAUAGGUCCCCCUGUGUCAUCUGCAGUGAACAAACCCAAAACACUUGAGUCUUAAUGGGAAUUAUGCAAUAGGCAUUUAGAGAAAGGAAGUCAGAAGGGGCCAGUGAAUUUUUUCUUGACAUAAGCUAUUGCCUUGCAUUCUGUUCCAGAGAGAUGCAGGGCUGAAUGCCCUCUCCCAGGCCAGCAUUUGUCCAUUCUCCAAAAGCAUUCUGCAGGCCAGUUUGCUUUUAGCUCAGCCAAUGCCAGGGUUUGAUGAUUAACCCAUUUGCCCAGGUGAGGAAGGCAUCUACUUGGGAUGGGUGGGCCCCAGGCCUAAGUUUUAGUGGUCCUAAGAGUAAAUGAGUAGAAUAAGAGAUAUAG
rnacentral:lncRNA from 1 species